AUGGACCAUCACAAGUUUCCCCUACAGAAGCAGAUUUCUAACAACACAGAUGGGAGCAGUACAGAAAACUCUCAGGCACCUAGCAAGUCCCAGGAGAAGCAUGUUGGAGGGAGUAUGCGCAGAUCUGGAUCCAUUUUUGUAACUCUCCAGUUUAUUUAUCGUGAGAUGACACCGUCACUGCCAACACUAGGGCAGGGGAGGCACGAUGAUUUGAAACACUGUGGGGGUAAGUAGUACAUUUAGAGUUUCUCAGUUACUAAUAUUUUUUUUCAAUUUUUUUUAAAGCAUGGUUUUAUUUUGGGUCAAGAGUAGCAACUGAAGGCCAAAACAUGUACAUGGUAAAAAGGAAAUUAAGUUUGUUUCAAUAAAUAUUUCUCAAGCAUCUACUCUGUGGCAGGUUGAGGAUUUUUAAAUGAAUAAGACAAAAGUAGCUGAUAUUGGUGAAAGCUUACUGUUUUCUAUGCGAUUCUCUAGGCCCCUUACAUAUAUUACUCCAUGGAAAUCUAUCAACAACCCUGCAAGGUAAGCAUACAUGUUGACCCUAUUUUACAGAGAUCGUUUGGCUGCAGAGAAGUUAGUCAACUUGCUUAUAGUCACACAGGCAGAAAAUAGUAGCACUGGGAUUCAAACCCCUGUCAUCUACCUCUAGAAACUAUGUUUUAAAUCCUAUAUUUCCUUAAAAUAUUGACAUUAUAAGGUAGAAGACCAAUGUACAAACCAAUAACACAAUACAAUAGGAUAUGAACAAUAAAGUAUAAUUGAGGUAGACAGUAACAUUCUGCUGGAGUGAAGGGUAGAGGAGAGAGUCAAGGGAGACUUCAAAAAAAUGUGAUAAUUAAGUGGAGAUAGAAAGGUGGGAAUGCAGUUUACCUCAUAGAACAACUUUGAACAGAGAAGAGGAAUAGGAUGAAGAAGCUCCUGCCAUGAGAGAAAUAGCAUGUUAAAUACACGGAGAUAUGGCAUAGCAGGGUGAUGUCCUGGAAACCACAAUUGAUGUAGCAUUUCUGAAACACCAAGCAUCACCAUGGAGAGAGGUGGCAGGAAGUGAGUCUACAGAUAUAAGAGAGUGUCAGUUCAUAGGGAAACUUACGUGACAUGCUAAGGAGACUAUAUUUUAUCCUGUAAACCAAUGUUUCUCAAGGUUUCUCUUCAAUGUACCUGUAUAGAUAGAAAGAGAAAUAAACCCUUAGGCUGAGACAGUGUAGCCCACAUAGUCAAGUCCUCACAUAGAAAAACGUUUUGAAGCUGAUGGUUUUGUUCAAAUUUAUGCAUUUGCUUUCAAUUACAUAAUACUUUUAUUUUUAUUUUAUUUUAUGACAUCGUCUCUCUGUCAUCCAGGCUGGAGUGCAGUGAUGCAAUCACAGCUCACUGCAGCCUCGAUGUCUCAGGCUCAAGCAGUCCUUCUGCCUCAGCCUCCCCAAUAGCUGGGACUACAGGCAUGCACCACCACGCUCAGCUAGUAUUUGUUUUGUUUUUGUUUGGUAGAGUUGGGGUUUUGCUAAUUGACUAGACUCGUCUUGAACUCUUGGGCUCAGGUGACCUGCCCCCAUCAGCCUCCCAAAGUGAUGGGAUUACAGGUAUGAGCACUGCACUCAGCCUAUUUUAAUAUGCAAAUGUUUAAAUUAUUUCUCACUCAAGAAAAUUAAUGUUCUAAGAGACUUGCAUGCUUCAUUUGUGAAAAAGUAUCUUUUGACAUAUCCUGUGUUUGGGAAGUUCAACUGAAGAUAUUGGUAGGGCAAAAAACAAGGCAACAAUAUAAUCAUAUUUGUCUCUUUGAUAAUUUUGGAGGGGCAGAUAGAACAGGAAAAUCCUCCAGACAAUACUAGAGUUGAUGAGGGCCACACCAAGGCAGUGGCAGUGGUGAAGAAGAGAGAAGUGAUUUUAGAAACAUACGUUAGGAUAAUUAGCAUGGGAUAGUUAUCAAAUGAAUGUGAGGGAUAAUGGAAAAAACAAACCAAGGCUGUAUGUCAAUUAAGGAUCGUGUAAUCUCAUCAGCUGAGAUGGAGAAUAUAGGAAGAAGGACUUUCCUACACCUUUCAAGAACUUCAUUAUAAGGAAGACUCAGGACAGAGACCCUACAUCCAUUUGUAGGUUUGUAAGUCAAGAACGUACAGAUCUCAGGCCAGGUGUGGCGGCUCAUGCCUGUAAUCCCAGCACUUUGGGAAGGAGAGGCGAGUGGAUCACUGGAUGUCAGGAGUUCAAGACCAGCCUGGCCAACAUGGUGAAACUCCAUCUCUACUAAAAAUACAAAAAAUUGCUGGGUGUAGUAGCAGGCGCUUGCAAUCCUAGCUGCUCUGGAGGCUGAGGCAGGAGAAUCACCUGAACCCGGGAGGCAGAGGUUGCAGUGAGCUGACAUUGCGCCACUGCACUCCAGCCUGGAUGACAGAGCGAGACUCCGUCUCAAAAAAUAAAUAAAUAAAUAAAUAAUAAUAACAAUAAUACGAUUCUCAACAUUUUCACAUUCAACAUAAUCUCACUAUAUUUUUCUUGAUUCUCUUUUACAUAUUUCAAAGGUCUUUCCUCUUGAAAUUUGAAGAAAAAUACAUAUUUUUUUUUACAUUAGAAAACUCAGUGUGUUUAUUAUUUUUUAAAUACCCAGAAUUAACAACUGUUGGUGAGGAUGUGGAGAAUUUGGAAAUGUUGUACAAUGCUUGUAGGAAUGUAAAAUGGUGCAGUUAUUAUGGAAAACCGUAUGGCUUGAUGGUUCCUCAGAAAAUUAAAAAAUAGCAUCACCGUGUGAUCCAGGAAUCUGGGCAUAUACCCAAAGAAAUUGAAAGCAGGAACUCAAACAUGUUUGUACAUGUAUGUUCAUAACAGCAUUUUGCACAAUAACCAAAAAGUGGAAGCAAUCCUAGUAUCUAUCCAUGGAUAAAUGGAUAAACAAAAUGUGGUAAAUAUGUACAAUGUAAUAUCAUUUAGCCUAAACCGGCUUAUUUCAGAAACUUAUUGACUAGCUUAUUUUAUUGACUAGCUUAUUUUAUUUUUUAAAUCUUCUAGUGUCGAGGCUAUGAUAAAACAAAAUAAUGUCUAUUUUCCUGAAAUUGUUUAUUAAAUGAUUGAUCACUUCCCCAAAGUUGGUGAGGCUUUUUUUUUUUUAAUUAAUGAAUAAAUUUUAUGUGUAUUCAAGGGAUUAUUUCAGGAGCAUGUCUUCUGUCACAUGGACUUGUAUGGAAAGAGAAGCUAUGUAAAGCAUAACAACUACAAAUAUUGGCCUUGAGUGAAGUGUCCUGUGUUGAGUCCCAGAUCCACAUUUUCAAGUUGUGUGGACUCGGGGAAGUUGUUUAGUCUUUAUUAGCCUUGGUUUUUCAAUAAACAAAAUAAGAAUAGUGAUAGUAUUUACCUCGUAGAAUUGUUGCAAGUUUAAAAAGGAAAGUCUUACAAAGUACCUUGCAUAUGAUUAGUGCUUAAUCAAUAUUAGCUAUCAUGAUUUCACUGAAAUUUGGCAGAGUUCCAUAUAAGUAUGUGAGAUACAUAUAUAUUAUACAUUGACAUAUAUAAUAAUAAUAUUAGUAUGUGAGAUACAUAUAUAUUAUACAUUGACAUAUAUAAUAAUACAUUAGUAUGUGAGAUACAUAUAUAUCAAUAUAUAAUAUAUAUGUAUCUCACAAAUCUGUCUGGACUAAAUCAUAAUGUAUUUGGUCCUCACAAUUUUCAAGAAUUUAAUUUCAGGGAAGUAUCAAGGCAGAAACUGCACAACUGUGUAAUUGGCAGAGUGCUGUCACAUACAUUAUUGAUUUCUUUUAGAUUCGCACAAUAACUCUGUGAUAAAAGAUAUUUUCUCCCUAUGGAGACGAGCAAACUCUUAGAAAUCACAAAAGUUUUAGGGCAAAAACUUGCAGCUUCAGCUAAAAGCAUCUGACUUUCAAAUUCAAUGCUUCUACUGACGUAUCAGGAUGUCUUUGGGAACAGAUUCCAUACCAAGAAUCUCUGGUAUCAAAUAGCUCUGUAAACUUUUUUUUUAUUUAGGAAAGUGUUUAUGUUAAACAUAAAAAAAAAUCUAUUUAAUGCUUCCAGCGCAGUUCUCAUGUCCAUAAAUGAAAUAUCUCUAUCUCCUAAACUAUGAACAGAGGAGACUAAAGAGAUCACUCAAAUAAUAUAUAUAAUAUAGCAGGUGCUUGAUUUAUUCCUCUAUAAAAUUUCAGGAGGAUUAAGGAGGCUUACUGUGAAAAUGCUGUAAAAAAUAAUUACGACACCUGACUCAAAGCAGACACUCUUCAGACCUUUUUCAAAACUGGUGGAAGUGUUCUUGGCAGCUUGCUCUCAUCACAAAAAGGUGUUGUGAGAGGAGGAUUUUUCUCUGAGCAGCCAAGUUGUACUGAAACUCCCACAGGAGUAAAAAGAGUGUUCCAAGCUUUUCUUGCUUGCUAAGGAGUAACUGGAACCUCCUACCUGAACAUAA
rnacentral:lncRNA from 1 species